AGCGGCGGAUGGGUGAGUAACACGUGGGGAACCUGCCCCUAAGUCUGGGAUACCAUUUGGAAACAGGUGCUAAUACCGGAUAAUAAAGCAGACCGCAUGAUCAGCUUUUGAAAGGCGGCGUAAGCUGUCGCUAAGGGAUGGCCCCGCGGUGCAUUAGCUAGUUGGUAAGGUAACGGCUUACCAAGGCGACGAAGCAUAGCCGAGUUGAGAGACUGAUCGGCCACAUUGGGACUGAGACACGGCCCAAACUCCUACGGGAGGCAGCAGUAGGGAAUCUUCCACAAUGGACGCAAGUCUGAUGGAGCAACGCCGCGUGAGUGAAGAAGGUUUUCGGAUCGUAAAGCUCUGUUGUUGGUGAAGAAGGAUAGAGGUAGUAACUGGCCUUUAUUUGACGGUAAUCAACCAGAAAGUCACGGCUAACUACGUGCCAGCAGCCGCGGUAAUACGUAGGUGGCAAGCGUUGUCCGGAUUUAUUGGGCGUAAAGCGAGCGCAGGCGGAAAAAUAAGUCUAAUGUGAAAGCCCUCGGCUUAACCGAGGAACUGCAUCGGAAACUGUUUUUCUUGAGUGCAGAAGAGGAGAGUGGAACUCCAUGUGUAGCGGUGGAAUGCGUAGAUAUAUGGAAGAACACCAGUGGCGAAAGGCGGCUCUCUGGUCUGCAACUGACGCUGAGGCUCGAAAGCAUGGGUAGCGAACAGGAUUAGAUACCCUGGUAGUCCAUGCCGUAAACGAUGAGUGCUAAGUGU
rnacentral:rRNA from 1 species